UACGAGUGCCUCAAGCGUUAUCCGGAAUCAUUGGGCGUAAAGGCUGUGUAGGGGGUUGUGUUAGUCUUCUGUUAAAUUCUUCGGCUUAACCGGGGGCAUGCAGGGGAAACGGCACGACUAGAGGAUGCGAGGGGUCUGCGGAACUCAUAGUGUAGCGGUGAAAUGCGUUGAUAUUAUGGGGAACACCAAAAGCGAAGGCAGCAGACUGGAGCACUCCUGACACUGAAACAUGAAAGCGUGGGUCGCGAAUGGG
rnacentral:rRNA from 1 species